rnacentral:rRNA from 1 species
AAGCGAGUGGCGAACGGCUGAGUAACACGUGGAGAACCUCGCCCCCUCCCCCCGGGAUAGCCGCCCGAAAGGACGGGUAAUACCGGAUACCCCCGGGCGCCGCAUGGCGCCCGGGCUAAAGCCCCGACGGGAGGGGAUGGCUCCGCGGCCCAUCAGGUAGACGGCGGGGUGACGGCCCACCGUGCCGACAACGGGUAGCCGGGUUGAGAGACCGACCGGCCAGAUUGGGACUGAGACACGGCCCAGACUCCUACGGGAGGCAGCAUG